AUGGGUCGAUAUUACUGUUUUUAUACGUACGCCAGUUGGGUAUGUGGGACCCCAAACUGUGAGGAAGUCAGAAGGAGCUUGCCUGCCAACCCAACACCCAGAGGUGAAGUGGUUAUUAGCUGCGAUGUGCCAGAACUGCUGCCAGCCAGAGUCUAUAGAAUAAGGGCUGGGACUACAGUUUUUCCAGCUCCAAAAAGGAUCAUCUGACACUACAUCUAAAACGUAGAUAAGAAUACGGCAACACAGUUGGAGAUGGAUUGCAUCUUCUGCAAGGCUACGAUGUAAGAUAGGAAUGAAACAGCACUUAAUUACCCUUAACCUGAAAGAGGAUCAACAGAUAUUCUACUGAUGUUUUAGACAGGAGAGAAAAUUGUCGAAAAGAUGGUAUUAUCAAAAACCAUUUAUUAGAAAGUGGCAAGAAGAUAUUGGUAGACCUAUUUGUGUCACUGUAACAAAUAGGGGAAGAAAAAAAAACAGCCUUAGGAGGCUUAGCGUGUUUACAGCACAGGGCUAAAAGCCUUAUUUGACUUUGAAACUGUAAAUACGCUGUCACAUCAUCUUCUCCGUCAACUAAAUGCAAAGUAAAUCAUACAAGCGUCCGUUUUUUGGGGAGAGUGGAAUUGAGUGAUAGCGCUGUUUAGCCUGUUAUUGAAAGGGGGCAAUUGAAAAACUGUGGGAUGAACAGCUUGGAUGGAGGGCAGUAUGGCAGAAUUAUCGGCGCUAUUAUAGAGCUCAUAGUCAGUAAUGGCUAUUCGGACUGUAAUGGCUCAGAUGGUUGAUAGGGUAAGAGUUAAAAUGGCCGGCAUUUGAUAUUGUGCAUCACAGAUUGUCAUCAUCAUUGGGUUUUCAUAGCAACUGCAUGUCAGAACAAGUCUGAUGUUCACUAUAUUUUCAUAAAUAUAUAGAUUUUUUCUUUUGAAACAGUUGGAGAAACAAUGUAUUUAUAUUAAAUUCUUUUGGCACAGUCAUUCCCGUGGGAAAUACCUUAUUGAGCCUUUGUAGUAUUACAAAAGAAUUAGAAAUGCCUGAAAGCAUACAGAACAGCCUAUGGUAGUUUCUUCAGCCCUGAAUGAUGUGUGCUGGUUUCCCUGUCAGGCUGCCUACAGCCCCAAAUGGCUCCAACAAUCAGUGGAUUAGAGCAGCUUCUAUGUAGUCUGUGAGGCAAAAGCCAGGGCAAAAAAAAAAAUCCAUGAAGGGCUCAUUGCUGUUUUUUAAGCUUCAUGCUGUGAACUUGUGGAAAUAAUUGAAAGCAGGGCCAUUGCCAAAUAUUUUAGAAACACUAUGGUCAUGAGUCCAAAUCCCCCUGAUGCAUUACACCCCCCCAGAAAAUGCUGACCAAAUACCAAAAAAGUGUUGAAGAUGUCUCAAAUAUUUGCAUAUUUCCACACAUAAUAGUAUGUGACCUCCGCGUAACCUUAGUGGUAACUGCAGCCCUGAUUGAAAGCAACCGAGAUAAGCAGUUUCAUCAACUCAGACCUUCUCUUAUCUGCAUUAUGCUGGCUGGAUGAAACUGGUAUCUUCAGUCUAAACUGAGGUGCUGGAGCUAUAGACUAUCAAACUCAAUGGAGAAUAGCAGCAACACACUCAAAUCUUUGCAAAAGUCUCUAUUUUUUCUACUUAACGUUGUUAAUGAACCUAUGACAAAUUCCAAAAUGUUGAUACUGAAUGUUUCUGCAAAAUAUUCCCUUACAAUGUAUUUGUUUUGUUUUCCAGAAAUGUGGGCUCUUGCAAUAUAAUAUCUGUAACAACUACAACAUAACUCAACUUUAUAUGGCUAUUGCUUAGGCACUUAGGCAGACUUGGUUAAAGUUAGGGAAACAUGGUGGUGUGUUAUAUAACUGGAAUUUCUUGCUUGGUACAAGGACAGUGUAAACUUACUGUUUAGUGAAAUGUAUUUGCCUGAAAUGUUGUUGCUAUCAUUGUAUAUAUAAAAGUCCCUGCAAUAAUCAAGCAGUAGUGGAGCAAGUUCACUCUUCACACUUUGUGGCACCUGAGUCACAGCAACACUGCAUCCUGGGAUAUUGUGACCUUCGAGCACAGUGAUGCAGAAGGUGAUCCUUGAAGCCGGCAAGACGGGCAUUUCUCCGAAGACUCUUUGACUAAGCGCCAUUAAGCGCUCGCGCGUUCACACACACUCGUAUCACAUAGCUACUGUGUGAGUACUUGGAGUGCCUUGCCUCCUCUACCUCCUUCUCCAUCUCCUUGUGCUUUUUCACAGUUAACACCCAUUCCUUUCCCCUUGUGCCCUUCCACAGCUUGAGUUCAGCUCAUUUAUGUCCCCUGUGAUGAAUGUGUCACACUGGCAACACUUAGGCGGAAACACACAAAUACACACACUCACAAAGACGCAUAAACACAUCCACUAACACACAAUACGAGCACACUCCAUUCCCCGUGUCAGCUAGCCACAGUGUGAUCUGAUAAAUGGUUUUUGGUGCAGGUGCUUUUUUCAUUAAUACACCCUCACAAACCCUACAGCUAUCCAGCAUAUUACAAAGAAAACAGACAGAGGCAGUAAGGGAGGAGUGAAGUAAAAAGAAAGAGUGGAAUACAAUUGAAAAAAUAAGUAAUUUUCUGUUUGAGAACCUCAGGUGUUUCUGUAUAUCAAGC
rnacentral:lncRNA from 15 species